rnacentral:rRNA from 1 species
UACGGGGGGGGCAAGCGUUGUUCGGAAUUACUGGGCGUAAAGGGCUCGUAGGUGGCCAACUAAGUCAGACGUGAAAUCCCUCGGCUUAACCGGGGAACUGCGUCUGAUACUGGAUGGCUAGAGUUUGGGAGAGGGAUGCGGAAUUCCAGGUGUAGCGGUGAAAUGCGUAGAUAUCUGGAGGAACACCGGUGGCGAAGGCGGCAUCCUGGACCGAAAUUGACGCUGAGGCGCGAAAGCCAGGGGAGCAAACGGG